rnacentral:lncRNA from 1 species
UCAUUUACAAAGAAAAAUAAUGAUGAUUUCAGAUAUUUCCUGUAUCAGUCUUUCUUUAGGCCUGGGUCAAAAGCAUGAGAAGAACAUGUUGUGGAAGGGGGGAGUGUCCAUUAAAGUAUUGAUUUAAUAAAGCCUAGGUCAGAAGUAAAUUUAUAAAAACCAAAGCACAAACCGGUGACUUUCAGCCCUGAAUACCAUUGAAUUGGGAAUAUUAUGGAGAUUUCUUUUCUUUAGGUUCAGGUGUUAAACUUGGGGUGAGCUCUUAGGCCUGUAGAGCAGCUAAUGAACAGAAGAGGUCCAGGGGGGGAAAGCUCCUGGGGCCAAGGAGGCAUUUGUAUCCCUCGGCAAGGAGAGCUGGGGGCUAUUACAAGUGCUUGACCAAGCACUGGGGAUUCCCUCCCUAUUCCUCCUCUGUAAGGAAAACAAAGAGUUGCAGGGCUUUUUCCAUAAUUGUCAUGGUUGUUUCCUUAAUGAUUUCAUAGCUUUAGUCUUAAUCUCAAGCAGUUUAUUACUUUGCUGGAGUCUCAUAAGGGAAAUUCAUGCAGAUUAAGGACGUUUUGGUGGUUGGUGCCCCAGGCUGCAGACUCUCAGAAAGCACUGAUAUUGAGGAGGUGCAAAUUGUAGGCCUGACAUCAUUCUCACACUGUUAUGAAGCCUUAUUUUGGUAUUGGGAAUAAUAAUGCAGAGCAGUCAGUAGGCUAAUGAUUAGAGCUCUUUCACUUUAGAAUUCUCAGUAUUUUCAUCCCAUUAUUCUCAUGCUCUAUCAUGGAAAAAUUACUUGAGAGUAAAACAUAGGAAAAUUUUAGAGUAGUUUCAUAUACGUUACAUUUGUUUGACAUUACCUUAGCAUAUAAUGAUAACAACUACAGCAGUAAAAUAACAGAUAAUAGUCCCCUAGAUCUCAUUCUUGGCAAGUUGACAUAAAACAUGACAGCUGGGCUAUGGUUAUCUUGACAUGGGGAUAUAGUUACAGGACUCUAUCUCCAGGCUACAGUAAUGGUCUCUGACAACUAGCGGAGAUACUGGUCAAGAUUCUGAUCUUGCACUCAUCACCCAGAAGGACUUAAGGACAUUUCUGGUUCCAGUCUAUAGGGGCUCCAGGAAUAUCCCUCCCACCCUGCUACUCUCCUUCCACUUCAGCUUAGAGGAUGCAUGAGAGUAUGAGAAUAAAGCAGUUCUCUCUUGAGUGGGAGAUUCAAGAGAGCAUCAUGCAGGUUCUCGGAGGUGGUAGGAAGAACAGGAUCUAUAUGCCAUCCCAGAGAAACCAGGAGCUCUCAGGCAGAAGGAAAUGAGAGUUUAAGCCAAGGCUUAAGGAAGAGGGCUGAUUCCUAGGGACCCUUCACCUUGAAAGCCUGGCUGAAGGUCCUUUUGGAGAAGGAAUAUUUUCUUUAUCCUUUUUUCAUUUGAAACUUUCAUCAGAUAGUACUCAUUCUUAAACAUUAUUUGAAAUGUUUUAAGUAAAAGGAAAUAUAUAUUUGAACCUAAGCAGUUGGAAUCCAUCCGAGUUUUAAGGGAUUACAGAUUCUUUGGAAAAUCAAAAUGAGAGCAGUAGCACUGUGGUCAGUUUUAUUAGUAAUCUGGAGCAGAAGGCGUGUUGCAGUUAUAAAGACUUGGGAAAGUGAUGGAGUCUUGACACUCAAAUUUAGGAAGCUGACCCCAAGUUCCACUUUGUGGAAGGGCAAGACUUUGAGAGAUACAUUACCAUUGAGAGUCCGCAAAAAUCUGUAACUUUUAAAUUGCUCAACCUUUUUUUGUGGCUUAAAAAUCUCACCAUUUAUGUAGAUAGGUGUUUUAUUCUGUGGUCUUUUGAUUCUGAAGAGAAAAUAAUCUGUUGCCCUUUAGAUACUCUUACUAAAGAUCGUAGUUUAUAAAGAUUGUAUGAUGGAACCUCCCCAGUUGUGGGAAAAAGGAAGAUGACUUUUGAUUGGGAUGGAUUUUUUUCCAGGUUUCCUUAGUAAAAUUACUCUCAGUACUGUCCAUUAUUCAUAUCAGUGUUAUAAGUACAUUGGAAUUCCCCAUUAGAGAUAUAAAAUAUAUUUUGUCUUUUUGUACUAUGUAACUCUCUUGUAUUUUAUUACGACUCCAUAUCUACAGAGACUACGAUACGUCACUGGACAAAGUGGAAAAUGUAUUGUUACUUUUUUAAAUAGUAGAGGACCAGUUAGUGUAAGAGUAUAUAUACAUUGAUGUGAAGUUUGGUUUUUUUUUUUAAUAAGUCAGAUCUAAGAUCUUAUUUCUUUAAAUUGCUUUCUCAUAUCAUUUUUGUUGUGCACCACUUCCCUUGUUACCUCUUCUGAUCAUGUAGUGAUACUAACCUUUUCUUAGUAAAGAUUUUGUUUUCAAUUGUAUAUCAAGAAUCAAUCACAAGUUUAAAUACUUUUUAUGUGCUACUUACCUUUUUAUGGCAAUGAAAAUAAACUGGAG